GUCAGGCAGUGCUUCACAGGCUGUAGGCGCCCAAGGAGCCAACCAGAGAAGAACAAAAUGGCAGCCAUGACGCCACACCUGGCGGCCGCACACAAACACACACGGGGCAGACGUUUGCUGAUGUUUGCACAGGGCAUUCUCUUGUUCGUCCUGAUUCUUUGUUGAUGGUGCUGUCUUUGCCCGGAUUGGCUACUUUUUUCCCCUUUUGCUG
rnacentral:lncRNA from 1 species